GUACUAUAUGGAAGCAUCACCUAUCAAUAAAAAAGCUAGGCCAAUGAGCUAAAGAAGGGUUAGAAGGAUCCAGCAGAGAGAGAGAGGACUCUGAGAAAUAGUCAUGCAUUAAAGACUCACUCCAAAUGCUGAUGGAGACAGACACAUGAAUCUGAGGAAAGGUAACUUACCAUAUGGCACAACUUAGACUAGUUUAAAUGGGAUAAUUGAGGCACGAGCUAGGGAAACAAGACAAAGUUUAGGCACUUAUGCAUAUGUAAGAAGUCUGAGUUGUUAUUUCAGGGAACAAAUAGGUCAGAUGGGAAAGCCUGUGGUUACACAAAAGGGGGGAAUGGGAGAAGGAGAGAUGCUUGCCUCUCCUCCGUGGCAGGAGAAAGCUGUCUCUGUUCUUCACUGGCUACAGCACUCAGAAGAGAGGACCCUGCACCUUUCCUAAGCUGCACAGUAGAGCCGACCCUGGUGGCAGGAGUACAGGUGAACCUGCCUCAAGGAUGUGUGCACCAGAGAGCGGCCUCAUCCCUCAUCUGCCAGUGGGGAGGUUGCAAGGGCAAAAGGGGCUAAACGCUACUGGAAGUGAUUUCUCAUGACAACUACAUAGUAUUCAUUAGCUUUGCCCAUCAAUGUGGCUAUCAGGGAUUACAGAGUACAGAGAGUGUGCAAAGAAGCUCAGAGAGACAGAAAAAGGGCUGGACCAGCUCCAAGAAGACACAGAUGAAUCUGAUGAAGGCAUUUCUUCAAAUGAGGAUUUCUCCUCCAAAGUAUGUCCAGUUGACAAUCAAGAUUAACCAUCACACCAAGUAUCAUGUUUGUUAAGUUAGCACUUAAUGUUGCAAACACAUCAGAGAUCUUGUUUCUGCAAUCCCAGAGUCUCCACUCUGCAUAAUCAGUAGGUAAGUUCCAGAAUUGCAGAAUAAGUGCAGAAUUCUCUCCACUCUAACUCAUCUCUAGAUCUAAUGCCCUCUCAACCUGGAUUAGGAAGUAUUUUGUUUCUGUAGUAAGAUACCAUGAUGAUUAAAACAAUUUAGGAAAGAAGGAGUUAUUUUGGUUCACAGUUUAAGGUUAUAUAAUCUAUUACUGCAGGACAGUUUUACCAGCAGGAGCUUGGUAUAGCUUGUUGGUGAUUCCACAGUCAAGAAGCUGGUAGUUAUCAAUGCUUGCACUCAGCUCAUUUUCUCCUGUCUAUACAGUCUUGGAUCACAUCCUAGGGAAUGGUGCCACCCACAGUGGGUAAGUCUAUCUACUUCAAAUAAGCUAUUCAAGAUAAUCCUCCACAGGUAUGUACGGAGGCCAAUCUCUCAAGUGAUUCUUGAUCUUAUCAAGUUAACAACUGAGAUUA